rnacentral:rRNA from 1 species
GAUGAACACUAGCGGCAGGCCUAAUACAUGCAAGUCGAGGGGCAGCACGGUAGCAAUACUGGUGGCGACCGGCGCACGGGUGCGUAACACGUAUGCAACCUGCCUUCAACUGGGGGAUAGCCCGGGGAAACUCGGAUUAAUACCCCAUAACACAGGGAACCCGCAUGGGUAUAUUGUUAAAGUUCCGACGGUUGAAGAUGGGCAUGCGUUCGAUUAGCUAGUUGGUGUAGGUAACGGCUCACCAAGGCGACGAUCGAUAGGGGGUCUGAGAGGACGAUCCCCCACACUGGUACUGAGAUACGGACCAGACUCCUACGGGAGGCAGCAGUAGGGAAUAUUGGUCAAUGGACGCAAGUCUGAACCAGCCAUGCCGCGUGCAGGAAGACGGCCCUCUGGGUUGUAAACUGCUUUUGAUAGGGAACAAAUGCCACUUGCGAGUGGAGCUGAGUGUACCUAUAGAAUAAGCACCGGCUAACUCCGUGCCAGCCGCCGCAGUAA